rnacentral:lncRNA from 1 species
GAAUUUAACAGGGGAUGUUUUAAUGUUUUAAUGUAUUACAUGAAAAAACACAUUACAAUAUUCUUCCUAGAAUUGGUUCAACAAAAUUUGCUGGAUAAAAGGCAAAAAAACAGAACAUAUAACACAUCCAGAACCAGACUAUCAUAACCAAAUUGCUUAACUUUGGUUCAACAAAAUUUGCUGGACAAAGGGCAAAAAAACAGAACAUAUAACUCAUCCAGGUUCUAAAACAAAUACAACACAAUAUAGAAUCUAAAAUUCAAAGUUUUAAAGUAAUAAACAUCCACAAAUACAAACCCAUAACAUAAUUCUACAAUUUAAAGCUCAAAUUUCCAGCCACUAGUGCUAAAGACUAAACUCUGAAUCAUCCACUUCAUUUGACUGUUGCUCACUCAUCCAACUUUCAUCAAUCAAAUGCUCUGCAGAAAGUAUUGCUUCCUCCAAUUGGGUUCAUUAGACAACUACCCUUCUAUGUGCAUAUAUAUAUCUCACUCCCUGAAAAUAUAUUAGCAAAAGAAAAAGAGCUUUUAGAGAAACAAGCAAAAGAUUCUAGCAGAAAGGAGACGAAAAUCAAUCAAGAACCAGAAAAGCACAGUGCGCCAAUAUGAUUGCAAGUUACAAGCAUUAAAUUCGAACAACUAAUAAUUAUAAUAAAAAAGGAAAGUGAUAAUGAUUUUAUAAAAUAUAUAUAUAUAUAUCAUAAUUCAUAAGCAAAGUAAUGGCGACGGCAAAGGAGAUAUCAAAUCUCCUUCUGCACUGCCAGCUGCAACUAACUUGCACUGGGAUGCCGGAGUACCUUCUGAGUUUUGACCAUUGACCUUGACCCUUCAGCAUUUUUACAGUCUUGUUUAAAAUCACGUGAAAGUGAAGCCAGAAAAACUACUGCCAAACUUUUCAUUGAUAUUAUUACUAGUUUUUUUUCCUUUUAUUCG